rfam:Linderina pennispora strain ATCC 12442 DL89scaffold_11, whole genome shotgun sequence.
GGGGGUCUAGCUCAAAUGGUAGAGCGCGCGCUUCGCAUGCGUGAGGCACUGGGAUCGAUACCCAGGUCCUCCA